UUUUUCUAAUCAAAUGAGUCAAUUAGAUACCUUAAAAACUAAACAAAAUUUCAAGUAUCAUAAUUUUUCAAAAAUUAUAUUUUUUUUCAAAAUCUAAAAUUCUACGAACUAAACACCUCGUUAAAAUUCUGAGGCUAAUUCUUUAGCUGACCACUUCGCAAAAAUGGGUGUCCGGCUGUCAGCAAACUUCAAGAUCUUCUUGCUUGGUGUUGAUGGUUUUUUGUCUUACUAUUUUUGCUAUUCUUUUUUCUUCUUUUCAGUUCUUCCUUUACUUGUGAGCUGCCUGUAAUAGUCAGUCCCCUCCUUUAAUGGAAACUUCCUAAAGCUCCUAUCCUAUGAUUAGAAGCAAAUGAAGAUCUAGAGCAAGUCUUCCUUAAUGAGCCUAAGGAAAUAGAAGAAGCAAAGCUUCGAAAAAGUUCCCGCGGGCUGCGUUAAACUUUUGAGAAAAAGAGCUUGUUAAUUGGAGUAUUGAGAUUGGUUGUCGAUUUGGGAUGAAAUCUUGCAUCUUCAUUGCCUAUUUUACCUAGUUGAAUAGUCAUGCUUAAAAGGUGUUUGCUAAAAUGUGGCUAAGGAAUUUUAUUGUCUUAUGGACAUUUUCUUUUAUCAUCACUGACUCACUGGACAUAGGGUCCAAUGAUGGAUUUAUGUGUUGGAUUUAUAUCCUUUUGGGUUAUUUUGGUAGGCUUUUCAUCAUAAUUUUAUACUUCUCUUCUAUCAUUUUGAGAGUUUAUGGAAUUGCUAUAACAGCUUAUGGGAAAAACGAUUUUGGAGGAAGGUGGAGAGAAUUUCAUUAAGUGGUUACAGUAUGAAAGCUUGGAAGUUGGAAUUUUUUUCUUUUUCUUUGUAGUUGAGUUGGAGAGAAAGAAAAUCAAAAGGUUGAGAAAUAACCUCAUAAUGUUUAGUUGGAUGGAAAUUGGAUUCCAUUCCAGUCAUUUUUUUCAUAUCUUUUUAUUCUGUUGUUUGGUUUAUUUUUUAACAAAGAAUAACAAUUUCAUAGAACGUGAAUUCCUUGAUAAUGAAGAACAACAAUUUUUUACUCUCCCUUAAGAAUUGCAAUUUCU
rnacentral:lncRNA from 1 species